rnacentral:lncRNA from 1 species
UUUUAUUAAUUUUACUAAAAAUCAACAAAAUAAUUUAUUUACCAUUUAAAUUUAAAUUCUAAAACAGUGAGUUGAAAACUACUAAGAAUCAAAAAUAUAUAUUGUUUAAUUAUUAGGUAAUUUUAUGUGUGAUUUAAUAAUAUUAUUCUAUAUUUUUUUCAAAAAGACAUUUUACUAUUAAUCAUGUUUUCAUUUUUUUAAUUUUAAAAACAAAAACCAAAAACUAAAAACCAAAAUCUAAAACAACCAUUCAUGCUUUUCAAAAAAACCAG